GUCGAGAUGUUGCUUCAGGCAAUAUAGGAAGCUCUAGAAAAGGAGUUCAUUGGUGUUACUAGUAAGACUUCAGGCUUGUACGGUGAAUAUGUGGACAGUGUGGUUUGUUGCUGGUAAGAUCUUGAAUACUUUAGUGCCAACAAGUUAGUAGAGAGUGCAAGUUGUGGUCAGUUGUGCCACAUCUCAGGGUUGUUAGUUUUGGAAGAGUCCAGAUCAACAUAAUAUUUUGAUGGAGAAUGAUUUAUGACGUGGGACAAUUUCUGGGUCAGCAAGAUAGUGGUUUGUGGCUGGUUGGAAAAUCAAUAGUUAAAUACCGGCAAGUUGUGAUCAGGAACACUCAGGGUUGUUAGUUUUGGAAGAGUCCAGAUCAACAUAAUAUUUUGAUGGAGAACGAUUUAUGAUGUGGGACAAUUUCUGGGUCGGCAAGUUAGUGGUUUGUGGCUGGUUGGAAAAUCAAUAGUUAAAUACCAGCAAGUUGUGAUCAGGAGCACUCAGGGUUGUUAGUUAGAUCAACAUUAUAUUUUGAUGGAGAACGAUUUAUGAUGUGGGACAAUUUCUGGGUCAGCAAUUUAGUGGUUUGUGGCUGGUUGGAAAAUCAAUAGUUAAAUACCAGCAAGUUGUGAUCAGGAGCACUCAGGGUUGUUAGUUUUGAGAGAGUCCAGACGUGAUAUUUUGAUGAAGGAUGGUUUGUGAUGUGGCCGAAUUCAUAGCAAGUUCAUGUUUUGUAGCUGGUAAGAACUUCACUACUUUAAUGCCAACAAGUUAGUAGAGAGUGCAAAUUGUGGUCAAAAGUGCCAGCCUUAAUACUUUGCUGGAGAACAAACAGUUUGUGAUGUGGACGAAUUCAUAGCAAGUUUGUGGUUUGUAGAUGGUGAGAACUUGAAUACUUUAAUGCCAGGAAAUUAGUAGAGAGUUGGGAAGGAGUUAGUCCCUCAUAUAUCAACAAGAAGGGUGUGAGAGGAGCUUGUCAAGGGAUUAGAGGAUGGAGUUGGUCUCUGAAAUAUGAACAGGAAGGGUGUGUAGACUGAGUUUGUUAAGGGAAGAGGAGGAGUCAUUUAUAACCAGGAAGAGAGAGUGUGUGUGUGUGUGUGUGUGUGUGUGAGGUGUUGGUUUGGCCAUUCGUUCACACAGACAAAACAUUUAUAUUUUCCUAUGUCUGCUAUUGUUAGUCGUCAGGGUCUUUGUUAUUGCUCACGUUACAUGUUAUAUACUGGUUCAGGGACGAGGCUGGGACACAACACGGGCUGCAGGGCGUCAGGCAUUCUAGCGUUUACGAAAAGACGCCAAGAAGUUUAAAGGUCAUAAAAUACUUCACCCCAAAUUUUGUUACUGUGGUGGUAUUUGGUGGUUUGGUACAUGGUUUGGAAGCUUACUAACCAAACUGUGUAACUGGACCCUUCACAACAACCAUGAUCACCACUGACCCACAAAACAUCUGCACUAUUAUUUUUGUGUUGGUUGGUCACUUGCUGCUGACCCCAACAUGUAUUUUCUGUGUCAAGGCUUUCACACAGAGUCUUAAAUGUCAUACAAGUUCCUCAUUAGACUCUCCGUUUAGUGUGUUUGUUUUUAAGGCUUUCCCCAUUAUGCACCCUCAAGCUGACUCCACCCUAGGCACAGUUGUUGCUCCUGUGCGCCCCAACCUGUUGUAGCCUCAGCCAAGUCACUUUUUUUACGGCGACGAGCGACAGGCUCAUUGCGUGUUUCCUUGUUGCUCGCUGCCUCGGAAUGUUGACACUUGUAUACUACUAAGGCCCUUGUACCUGCCGUGUGUGUGUUAGUGUGUGUGAAUGUGCAAUGUAUAUGUGUGUGUGUGUGUGUUAGCCAGAUAAGUUUAGAGUUUUUUAUUAUUCUUGUAUACUACUCAUGUUUAUACACACUAAACAUACUAUUUAUAAGCAUUACCUGUUUUCGUUUUGUGUAGUAGAGAUAGUAACGCCAAUAAUAGUAUACGGUUUGUUGAGGGAAGUGCAGCCGUAUGGGGGGAGAAAGAUAAAGAGAGAGAGAGAGAGAGAGAGGCUUAACAUAAGUAACAAAGAAAUUAUAUAUUACGGAGAGUUAAAAGUUCGCUGUAUUGAGAUGUGUGCAUGUGUGUGUAUGUGUGUGUGUGUGUGUUUUAACUAUAGAGGAAAGGAAGAUAUGUAAAUGAAAAUAUGGGAAGAGAUGGAGGAGAUGAGGAGGAAGAGGAGGAGAUGAAGAAAAAUGUGUGUGUGUGUGUGUGUGUGUGUGUGUGAGAGAGAGAGAGAAUGGACAACCUCUGCAGCAUUUUUCUACCUGUCGAAAUGUAUUGAUCAAAGUAUAUAGUAACUGUGAAUGAGGUGCGUCAGCCAUGGCCUCCCCACUCGCAUGUAUAAAGCUUACGAAACAACAGAACACAAGCAUAAUUCACCCCAUCAGUCACACACCCUGUACACACACACACACACACACGACGUUACGCUAAUAGUUAUUUAAUAUUUCGAGUACACGGGCGGCAGUGAUGUUGUUGUGUGUUUCUUGCGACGUCAUCACACAUGCGUUACGUUUCCCCAAAUUCGCCGUGUCCUGCCGUAUAUUUUAUGAUGAUGUUGAUGAGGUUAGUUAGCAACGAGGAUAUUAUUACUAGUGUUUACGGUUGAUGCUGGUGGUGUUGAUGAUCCUCGACGUUGUUGAUGUUACAAGAGAGAAUCGGAGCGACGACGAAAAGGGUGUUAGAUAUUAUUAUUAUUAUCAUUAUUAUCAUUAUUAUUAUUACUACCAUUUUAACUAUUCUUCUGAGUGUGCAUUAAUAGUUUUACAUUCAUUAUUAUUAUUAUUAUUAUUGCUAUUACUAGUGUGUAUUCAUCGUAUAACAUUCAUCACAUUUUCUAAUUGUAUUAUGUCUGAUGUCAUUUUUAUUAUUAUUAUUAUUACAUGUGUUUUUAUUGAUAUUUUAGCGCUGUACAAUAUUUAUUAGGUUCGUAUUUGCUCAAACUAGUUGGGUCGUAAACAAAAAUAUUAACUCGUUCACUCCACAUUGUCUUUCAUUUUGUGUUUUGUGUUGGCCGAAGUGUAUUUUUUUUCUCUCAUGCAGCUUUCUCUCUCUCUCCUCUCUCUCCUCUCUCUCUCAGUAUUAUCGUCAUCACAAGCAGCUCUCUUUUCAUCACACACAUCAACUUUUCUUUAGUACACCAUUCAUUUAUAAACAUUUUCUUUUUAUUUCCGCGACUAAUUAUUUGUUUUGCUCAGUGGACUGCGUGUGUUCGUCUUAUCCGUUGUAUAUUAUUUUUCUUCUGCGUCGUGCAUUGCGUUGGUCGGCCGGUCCGCUGAUAUGGAGGGUAGUCUGGAGGCAUUAUUUCUUGUUGUUUUGGAGGAGGGAAGGAAGGAAGGAAGGGAGUUGGUGAAGGAGAGUAGGGAGGGGGAAAAGGAUGGAGAGGGAGAGAAAGAAUGAAAAAAGGGGAGAGUCAGGGAUAGUAGGAAAGGAGAGAGGAAAGUAGGGAAGGAAGGGAGGAAAGAGCAAAGAAAAAGGAAGGUAGGAAGAGUGAGGAAAUAAUGAGUAAGGGAAAGUAGGAAGGAAAUGAAGGCAGGAAGGAAGGAAGAAAGAAAGGAAAUGGUUAGGAAAGAAGAAGUUAUGAUGAGUAAGAAGGAAGACAGGCAGGCAGGAAGGACUUUUAGAAGAAUCAAUGGAGAAGGGCGAGUGGCAAGUGAUGUGUUGCUAUCAGGGAAACAGAAAAAUGAGCUUGUUGUCAAUAGGAAG